AUCCAUUUCUAUUCCCUCCUAAGGUGUUUCCUCCUCUACCUCCUAAGAUAUUUCAUCCACUCCCACCAAAGGUCUUCCCUCCAAAGCCUCUCCCACCACCAGUACCAGUUUAUAAGCCUCCACCUAAACCACCAGUUUUCGAGCCUCCUCCUGUCCCAAUCUACAAGCCAAAACCACCAGUCUUUAAGCCUCCUCCUGUUCCCAUCUACAAGCCAAAGCCACCAAUCUUCAAGCCUCCUCCUGUUCCUAUCUACAAGCCGAAGCCACCAAUCUUUAAGCAUCCUCCUAUUCCCAUCUACAAGCCAAAACCAAAGCCUCCUCCAGUUCCAAUCUACAAGCCCAAACCACCAGUUUACAAGCCUCCUCCAGUGCCAGUCUACAAGCCUGAACCAAAGCCACCAGUAUACAAGCCUCCUCCAGUGCCAGUCUACAAGCCUGAACCAAAGCCACCAGUAUACGAGCCUCCUCCAGUGCCAGUGUACAAGCCUGAACCAAAGCCACCAAUAUAUAACCCUCCUCCAGUUCCAAUCUACAAGCCAACACCACCAAUAUUUUAUAAGCCACUCCCUCCUAUCCCGAAGAUCCCUCCAUUUUACAAGAAGCCAUGUCCUCCUCUUCCUAAGCUUCCUCCUUUCCCAAAGAUUCCUCCGAAGCCUUUCCACCAC
rnacentral:lncRNA from 1 species